AUACGAAGGUCCCAAGCGUUAUUCGGAAUCACUGGGCGUAAAGAGUACGUAGGCGGUUUGGUAAGUCAGGUGUGAAAUCCCGAAGCUCAACUUCGGAACUGCAUCCGAUACUGCCAGACUAGAGUAAUGGAGAGGCAGGUGGAAUUCUCGGUGUAGCAGUGAAAUGCGUGGAUAUCGAGAGGAAGACCAAUGGCGAAGGCAGCCUGCUGGACAUUUACUGACGCUGAGGUACGAAGGCUAGGGGAGCGAAAGGGAUUAGAAACCCUAGUAGUCC
rnacentral:rRNA from 1 species